rnacentral:rRNA from 1 species
GAGAAGGUAGCAGUACUUAGUGGCAGACGGGUGAGUAACAUGUAGGUAUCUGCCCUUUGGCCGUGGAAUAACACGAGGAAACUUGUGCUAAUACCGGAUAAGUCUUUACGGAGAAAGCUUUAUGCACCAUUGGAUGAGCCUGCACUUGAUUAGUUUGUUGGUGGGGUAAUGGCCUACCAAGACUGUGAUCAAUAGCUGAUUUGAGAGGAUGAUCAGCCACAUUGGGACUGAGACACGGCCCAAACUCCUACGGGAGGCAGCAGUGGGGAAUCUUGCACAAUGGAGGAAACUCUGAUGCAGCGAUGCCGCGUGAGUGAAGAAGGCCCUUGGGUUGUAAAGCUCUUUCGUCGGGGAAGAAAAUGACUGUACCCGAAUAAGAAGGUCCGGCUAACUUCGUGCCAGCAGCCGCGGUAAUACGAAGGGACCUAGCGUAGUUCGGAAUUACUGGGCUUAAAGAGUUCGUAGGUGGUUGAAAAAGUUGGUGGUGAAAUCCCAGAGCUUAACUCUGGAACUGCCAUCAAAACUUUUCAGCUAGAGUAUGAUAGAGGAAAGCAGAAUUUCUAGUGUAGAGGUGAAAUUCGUAGAUAUCAGAAAGAAUACCAAUUGCGAAGGCAGCUUUCUGGAUCAUUACUGACACUGAGGAACGAAAGCAUGGGUAGCGAAGAGGAUUAGAUACCCUCGUAGUACAUGCCGUAAACGAUGUGUGUUAGACGUCGGAAAUUAUUUUCAGUGUCGCAGCGAAAGCGAU